UUACAGAGGUCUCAAGCGUUGUUCGGAUUCAUUGGGCGUAAAGGGUGCGUAGGCGGCGCGGUAAGUCGGGUGUGAAAUCUUGGAGCUUAACUCCGAAACUGCAUUCGAUACUGCCGUGCUUGAGGACUGGAGAGGAGACUGGAAUUUACGGUGUAGCGGUGAAAUGCGUAGAUAUCGUAAGGAAGACCAGUGGCGAAGGCGGGGUCUCUGGACAGUUCCUGACGCUGAGGCACGAAGGCCAGGGGAGCAAAACGGG
rnacentral:rRNA from 1 species